UGCAUCGUUCCUACUCACAGUUCCUUGGUUCCAACUUCCAACUCUCCUCUUUCUCUACUCUAAUUCCUGAUCAACGCCAUCUUGUCAAUCCUCCAUCUCCAUCCUCCAUCUCCACCUUGCCGUCGAACCCUAAUUCCUUAUACCCUCGUUCAACCUCAAUCUCCGUCGAACCUUAUGUCCUUCGUUUCGGCCCAAAACACCUCCAUCGAACCCUAAAUUUCUCAAUUCUCAGUAUACCCAGAACGACAAUUCUCUGUGUAACAACCUUAUAUAGUUAUAUCUCAACAUUUUCAUUGAUUGGGUAACGACAAUUCUCUGUGUAACCCACUGUUUUGAUUGGGUUUAUCUUUUAUUUUAAUUUUAAUUUCAUUGAUUCAUAUUAUAUGGGAUUGUUAAUUGUUGAUUUGAUUGAUGAUGAUUGUUAAUAUUAACCAGUAUUACUAGUAUUUUUUAAUUUCAAGCUGUGUUUGUUUUCUUGCCAUUUGAAUUGUGUCUGCUGCAUGUUUAUAUUGGGGUUUUGCUGUUGUUUCAGUGGUGUCACAAGAGGUGUCUGCUGUUUGAGGAUAUUUUUGGUUUGUGCUUUAAUUGGUUUGGUAUGGCUGUGUGUUUUUGUUGGGUUUGGCCGAGGGAAUGUGUCUUUUCUCCGUGUUUCCUUUAAAUUGUUACGCCUCGGUUUGGUUUGAUGUAUUGUGCUUCUUGAUAAUGGUUGAAAUAGUCAUCAAGCUAAUGUUAAUGUGGCAGCCCUCUUUGAGCUUGAUUCAUUCCCCAAUUGUUACUCUUUUGAAUUUCAUCUUUGAUUUUAUGUUACUAGUGUUGUGUGAUCAAAUUUUUUGAUUACUGUAGACUGGUGAUUUUAUUUCAUUCUGUGUGGUAGUAGUUGGAAGCUUAUCCACUGAUCUUUAAAAGCUAGCUGACUAAAUAUACAUUUGAUAGCUUCAUAUACCACCGACAUGAUCAUGUUACUAUGAACUUUGCCAGAAGUGGAGGACAUGGGAUGUUAACAAAUGGACGGACACAUGUAGGGGCUGAGUGUGACUUUAGCCACACCAGAUGUUUCCAAAAAAAAUUUAUAUACUGAAAAGAAAGAAAAAAGUACAGAAUUGUUAACCUCAAACAAUCACAUAUUCUUUCUCUCUUCCUCUUCAAAUUCUCAAAUAAGCAAGAUUAGAAGUGUCUACCUCAAAUCCUCAAUCUUCAAUUUUCUACCAGUUGUAAGCUUAUAGGUGUGUUUGAAAAUCUAAGGUAAAGUGAGUAUUCCAAUUUUCUCCUA